rnacentral:rRNA from 1 species
CACGUAGGGGGCGAGCGUUGUCCGGAUUUAUUGGGCGUAAAGAGCUCGUAGGCGGCUCAGUAAGUCGGGUGUGAAACCUCCAGGCUCAACCUGGAGACGCCACCUGAUACUGCUGUGGCUAGAGUCCGGAAGAGGCGAGUGGAACUCCUGGUGUAGCGGUGGAAUGCGCAGAUAUCAGGAAGAACACCAACGGCGAAGGCAGCUCGCUGGGACGGUACUGACGCUGAGACGCGAAAGCGUGGGGAGCGAACAGG